AUUAUUUUGAUUUUUGUUUUUUGACAGAGCUUGCGAAGGAUUUCCUUUCCAACUUUGCCAAUUCGAAUGGCGAACCAAAUAUAUGCGCAUCCUUCAGGAAGUUGCAAACCGCAAAUUUCGAGCUAUCGAGAUUGAUAUUGAGGACUUGUUCAGUUACACAGAAAUGAAUGAAGAAUCCCGCAAUCGAGUUGAAGUGAACACUCGGGUGUUAUAUUGGUGUAUUUGCAGAUGGUAUUGAUGAGCUCAUGCCGGAGCCCACGGAGACAGAUCAUGAUCAUGACAUUCUGAUGACUCAGAGGUCUGAUGAUGGACCAGAGAAUAUGGAUGGUUCGGAUCCACAUCAGAAGAUGCCUCCUGAAGUCAAGCGCUACUUGUGAGUUCAAAGCAAAAUCCUAAUUCCUAUUGCGCUUGUUUGAAUGAAAUUUCGGUUUACAUGUGUGAAAAUUCACUUAAUUGUGUGGUCGGUAACGGAUCAUAUGCAUCUUAAUCUUGUUUUGACUAGCUAGUAUCUCAUGCCAGAAGUUACAUUGCAUAAUCAGUCACUGGACAUGUAUGGUAACACUUAUACACUUCAUGUUUCGCUUUAAACUUUCUGCUUACUGGUUCGUUAUUCAUGAAUUAGUAAAUGAAUGUCGAUAGAUAUUAGCUAGCUUGGUUUGUAGUAUGUGUUUUGAAAAUAUGGUGACAUUUCAUACAAUGUAAGUUCAACAGAGGUUUAUCUCAGAUUAAUAUUGGAAACUUGCUUUUUCCUCUAUUCCAUGUCAUCGGUUGCAGUUUAUUUACGAGUUUCAUAUGCUUCAACUUCCAUUGUAGCAAAGCUUUCUAUGCAGGUUUGUGUUCAUUCUUAAUUCACUAGUUUUAUUUUUUCAUAUGUAUUCCAGUGAAAUUUACAUAAGAGCAUCUUUACAUUUUAUUGCCAGCUACAAACCCAUACAUUUUCAACAUAUUUCAAACCAUCUCUUUCCCUCCCUCUUUGGAGUAUAAUUGAUCCAAUGGCACUGGGUCUAUACUUGUGCUAGUUUCUUCAAAUCCACUUUUGUUGAUUCAUUAAUUCAUACAAAAUUUUAACUAUAUAUUGCUCCCAUCUUUUCAACUCUUAACAUAGAGUUUAUCUGGUGCUUGUAGGGCAGUUUUUGCUAAACUUAUCGUUCCUUUACCUACUUUGAAAAACCUCUUCAAUUCUUAGGUGAUGAUGGGUGCCGUGUACUAACUUGUGUUAUGCCGCAGUUAUGAACUUAUAGGAGAUGAGGAAGAACAAGUUGCACGUUUGGCUGAGGAUGGUAACAUAUAUGAAAAGCGUGGUUGAUCUCUGGCACCUGAAAUACAUGGGCGUGAAGAUAUCAAGAAGGCUCUGCUUCUGCUCCUAGUGGGUGCCCCUCACAGGAAACUAAACGAUGGAAUGAAGUUAAGCUCUCAACGUAACCAGGUGCUAGCGGAUAUGGGAAUCUGUGCUACUGAUGAACUUGAUAAGACGGAUGAAUUAGAUCGUGCAGCCGUACAUGAAGUUAUGGAGCAGCAGACUGUCAGCAUUGCCAAGGCUGGGAUCACUACGUCUUUGAGUGCACGAACUCCUGUCCUUGCUGCAGCUAAUCCAGCACGGUACAAAUCUUUCUACUUCUUUUUAAUCUGGUUCAUUUGGGGCAUUACUCUUUGUUGCUUCUCAUCUAAAUCAUAUUGCUCUAGUUAUGUGGUACCUUUUUUACUGCUGGAACCUGGAAGCUAACUUUC